GUAUCCAAGGGCUGUUACCAGUCUCAUAAGACAUCUGAUCUUUCCUUAUACUCACCAGUUCUAAGCAGCCCACAAAAUGAGAAACAAAAAUGACUGAGAACAACAUAAAUGAAAGCAAAGCUAGGAAGGAGAAGGCAGAAGACAAAGAGAAAAACAUCCCAAGUUGUGAUGAAAGAAACUCCACAGAGUACUCAUUAUUUGACAUCACAUAAAAGAUAAAUUCUUCUGUCUAAAUUGACUGUGGAGUAGGGGGCUGACAGAAUGAGACAAUGGGAGGCAAAUUUAAUUUAUGAAGAUAUUGCUUUGGGAGGCAGUGGCAAGGUGACAAUAGAGAGAAAUUAGUGCUUGUUGAUCCACACAGAGGCACUGGGGUCUGCCUUCAUGAAAGCUGCUCAUUCAUCCUCUUGUCCCGAACAUAGAGAGUGCAACACAUCUAUCUACAAAGGAAGAAGGUUCCUGUGAUCUCCAGAAUGGCAAUUUCCUCAUAUAGCACAAACUUCAGUGGUGAGGGAGAAGUCAUCCUCUGAUCCGUUAAGGUCCAGGGAACACUGAUAAAUAGGGAGGGGAAGCAGCCAUAUGCAGAAGCACAUCAGAGGCCCCCUUUGAUCAACCUGUACGUUACCACCGCUGCAGGAAGGGCAGCCAGCACAUCCCUCGGCCCACGCUGCUUCCCACAGCCCCCACUGGCCUGUGACAGCAAACCGUGGCCAGUGAGAGUGGCAAUUGGCCAAACCUGCGGACGCGGCAGGUAAACAAACCAGCCUGGACCGCCAGAGGCUUUCCCUGAACAAGUGGUGGCCCAACUUUGAGAAGCACCGCACUAGAGGCAAGAACUCCUGCAUCAUUUCUCCAUCUGUAGAAUUCUCAACAUACAAUGUUUAAGGGUGUAUUUUC